GACGAACGCUGGCGGCGUGCUUAACACAUGCAAGUCGAGCGGUAAGGCCCUUUCGGGGGGUACACGAGCGGCGAACGGGUGAGUAACACGUGGGUGACCUGCCCUUAGCUCUGGGAUAAGCCUGGGAAACUGGGUCUAAUACCGGAUAUGACUCCAUGACGCAUGUUGUGGGGUGGAAAGCCUUGUGCGGCUAGGGAUGGGCCCGCGGCCUAUCAGCUUGUUGGUGGGGUGAUGGCCUACCAAGGCGACGACGGGUAGCCGGCCUGAGAGGGCGACCGGCCACACUGGGACUGAGACACGGCCCAGACUCCUACGGGAGGCAGCAGUGGGGAAUCUUGCGCAAUGGGCGAAAGCCUGACGCAGCGACGCCGCGUGGGGAUGACGGCCUCGG
rnacentral:rRNA from 1 species